rnacentral:rRNA from 1 species
UACGUAGGGUGCGAGCGUUUGUCCGGAAUUACUGGCGUAAAGAGCUCGUAGGUGGUUUGUCGCGUUGUCCGUGAAAACUCACAAACCUCAAUUGUGGGCGUGCGGGCGAUGACGGGCAGACUGGAGUGACUGGCAGGGGAGACUGGAAUUCCUGGGUGUAGCGGUAGGUGAAUGCGCAGGAUAAUCGAGAGGAACACCUGCGGCGAAGGCGG